UGAACGCAGCGACAGGCUUAACACAUGCAAGUCGAGGGGCAGCGGGGAUGAAGCUUGCUUCAUCCGCCGGCGACCGGCGCACGGGUGAGUAACACGUAUGCAACCUGCCCCUGGCUGGGGGAUAAGCCGGAGAAAUCCGGUCUAAUACCGCGUAACAUCCUUACGGGACAUCCCGUUAGGAUCAAAGGAAGCGAUUCCGGCCAGGGAUGGGCAUGCGGCGCAUUAGCUAGUCGACGGGGUAGCGGCCCACCGAGGCGACGAUGCGUAGGGGUUCUGAGAGGAAGGUCCCCCACACUGGUACUGAGACACGGACCAGACUCCUACGGGAGGCAGCAGUGAGGAAUAUUGGUCAAUGGGCGCGAGCCUGAACCAGCCAAGUCGCGUGAGGGAAGACGGUCCUAUGGAUUGUAAACCUCUUUUGCCGGGGAGCAAGCUGAGUCACGUGUGGCCUCAGCUGAGAGUACCCGGAGAAAAAGCAUCGGCUAACUCUGUG
rnacentral:rRNA from 1 species